rnacentral:tRNA from 2 species
GCGGACAUAGCUCAGUUGGUAGAGCACAACCUUGCCAAGGUUGGGGUCGCGAGUUCGAGUCUCGUUGUCCGCUCCA